UAGUCCACGCCGUAAACGAUGUCAACUAGCCGUCGGGCUCAUUAUAAGGGUUUGGUGGCGCAGCUAACGCGAUAAGUUGACCGCCUGGGGAGUACGCCGGCAACGGUAAACUCAAAGGAAUUGACGGGGGCCCGCACAAGCGGUGGAGCAUGUGGUUUAAUACGAAGCAACGCGCAGAACCUUACCAGCUUUUGACAUCCUGGUCGCGGAUAGAGGAGACUCUUUCCUUCAGUUCGGCUGGACCAGUGACAGGUGCUGCAUGGCUGUCGUCAGCUCGUGUCGUGAGAUGUUGGGUUAAGUCCCGCAACGAGCGCAACCCUCACUGUUAAGUUGCCAGCAUUUAGUUGGGCACUCUAGCAGAACUGCCGGUGAUAAGCCGGAGGAAGGUGGGGAUGACGUCAAGUCCUCAUGGCCCUUACAAGCUGGGCUACACACGUGCUACAAUGGCGAUGACAGUGAGCAGCUAACCCGCGAGGGCAAGCUAAUCUCUAAAAGUCGU
rnacentral:rRNA from 1 species